rnacentral:misc_RNA from 1 species
GUGAAAACAGCAGCCACAGGUUCUCUCUCUCAUGACACCUAAAUCAUUUUCAGUGAGUUGGGUCUGCCUCAACCCCCAUUACUCAAUUCCACUACUCUUAUCUGCUCUGGUAAAGCAGACCACUCCAUAUACUAUCAUAUAGGAAACCUUUUGCUUUCUUUUUCCACUCACUUGAUAACUUUCAUUGUUGCUAUCUGCGCUGUUUUUAACUUUUUCCCCAUUUGCUUCUGUGCUUCCUUAUUUCGUUCUUGCACUGGACACUCUUGAUUGAAUACACGUGCGGUUUUACUCUCUUUUAUUCAUUUUCUAUUAUUUUCUUUUGCUGCUUAAUUUCUAUGGGUUUGAGCUAUCUCUGAUGGGUUUUCUUGCUUUGGUGCAUUUGGUAGCUCUGAAAUUGAGUUUCUUGUGAAUUGGAGACUUAUAUGGAGGGUCUUUGUCGGGCUUUUCUUUAGGUAUUUAGGUGGGGAUUUUUGUGGGUAAUGUGCACAGUGUCCUAGCAAGAUUUUUCAAUGCUUACUGUGACAAGUGGUUUGGGAGACAAUUUAAUUUGAUUUUUGCCUUGUUGGGUAAAAAGUGUAUGAGAGACAUAAUUUUCUUGCUUGUAUUGACAACAAGGUUUGUGUCUAAUCUCUUAAAACAGUGAUUCUAUAGUAUUGCAAUGCAGUCUUGGAGCUGUGUCACUGGAGGGAAGGGGUUAGUAUCCAAUGAAACAAUUUCAUCUUCUGAUGCUAUUGCCAAAAGCAAAAAUGCCUUGAUGGGUUGGGAUUUGAAAAAUGCUUGUAGUUUUGGCAAUAACAUGGUCGUAUCAAGUCAACAAGCUAUUGAAAAUCAUGGUUUUGGGGAAUUAAUUUAUCACGAACUGAUGGGAAAACAAUUACCUGAUAAUUCAAUUAGGGAUGUUUUGAGUAGCGAGGCUGGUGGUGGAAAAAUCAUCAAUCCUUUUAUGGUCAGCACGAAUACGUUUUGUUUGGAAGAUGAGUCCACCACCAGGCUUUCUAGCUCUGUUGUGGACUCUAAUAGUAAGGAUUCUUCAUUCAUCGAUUUGAAGCUGGGCAGGUUUGGUGGUCCUGCAGACGCUCAGAAUUCCAAGAUUUCCAAAGGAGCAUCCAUUCUGUCUUCAUCUGAGUCAUCUGCGCCUCCAAAGAAAGCGAGACUGGGAGUGAAUUCCCACACUGCCCGUUGCCAAGUUUAUGGUUGUAAUAAGGAUCUCAGCUCCUCGAAAGAGUAUCACAAGAGGCAUAAAGUCUGUGAAACUCACUCCAAGACUUCGAAAGUUAUUGUGAACGGAAUAGAGCAGAGGUUUUGCCAACAAUGCAGCAGGUUUCAUUUGCUGGCUGAAUUUGAUGAUGGUAAACGCAGCUGUCGUAAACGCCUUGCAGGCCAUAAUGAGCGUCGGAGAAAGCCUCAAGUUGGUAUUCACUCUGGAAGGAAUGAGAGGCUACUUCAGCCGUACAAUGGCCUUGCCACCAGCAGAUUUCAUGGCACUACAUUAACAUCUUUUAUCUGCCAAGAUAUACUUCCUACUGGCCCAUUGCAUCCUGAGAAAUAUGGAACAAGUAAUUGGUGCAGGCAUAUAAAAGUGGAAGAUGGUUCUGAUUUUAGUCUACUAUCAUCUAUUCCUGUUACAAGAAGCAUUUUCAGUGCGAGCACUAAUCGAUAUCCACGUGAUUUGGGAGGCUUAAAUUCUUAUUCACAUUCGUUAAUCCGGGGCACCUCAUUGGGAAAUGAAGACUUAACUGCUUUUGAUGCAGUAUCAACCAUUCAAGGACUAGCAGGGAUCACAAGCUCUAGUUGUGCUCUCUCUCUUCUGUCAUCUCCAUCAGCCGAGACUAGGGAGAUUGGCUUGAGCCACAUGGUGCAGCCUGACAUGAACCCCCCAGCUCAGUCCCUGAUCCCAAGCCUGAACUUUAGCUUUCCUGGAAUGGAAAGUGGGCCUGUUGAUUCCGUUUUGGUCGCUGAUGGCAGUAGCAAUGCCAAUCUCCAUGGUCAGGGUAUGUUUCAGAUUGGACCUGAUGGGUCAUCUGCAAGCGGAUCUCUCCAGACACUUUCCUUCUCGUGGGAGUAAUAGCACCAUUUCCUCCUCGUGAUCCGAUGCUUUAAAUGCAAAAAAUGAAAGGACUUGAUGUCCUAAACCAUUUGCUUAUUGUGAGAUUGUUAUGUUUCUUCUGAAUUGUGUGGAUCCCCACUCGGACAACUGUUGGGAAUGCAAGAUGCUACUGUAUUAUUUGCAUGUGUUUUCUCCUAUUUUUUCCGUGUUCUUAUUCGUGUUCAUUAAACAUUGAACUUCCAAUGUUGCAAGACAAAUGCAUCUUCUGAAGAAAAUAAGUGCAUUAUUGGCUUCCAUAGGCGUUAUCCCAGUGCUAUUAGUAUAUCAAAUUCCUCAUUAGCUAACUCAUUGACUGCCCUUUCUCAGUUGCAGCCUUCAUCUUUUGAAAAUCUAAAACUUUGAUGUUGUUAGACACAAGGUAUGGCCUAUGGGCGCUGCAACAGGAGUUGUCUGCUUACACCGGCAGUGGGUCAUCGAGUGCCUCUGAAGCUAUCUCAUCCUUUUAUUUUCAGCAUGCCAGGCACUUGCAGACUCAGGGAAUAGCAAAUGUGUUGUUCUUCUUUAAUUCCUUCACAUGUAAUUGCAGUUGUUUGACUGUUGUCCCACUGAUAAUUGCCACUUGUACAUUGUUGUUG